CCUACGGGAGGCAGCAGUGGGGAAUAUUGGACAAUGGGGGCAACCCUGAUCCAGCCAUGCCGCGGGUGUGAAGAAGGCCCUCGGGUUGUAAAGCACUUUCAGUGAGGAAGAACGCCUGGUGGUUAAUACCCAUCAGGAAAGACAUCACUCACAGAAGAAGCACCGGCUAACUCCGUGCCAGCAGCCGCGGUAAUACGGAGGGUGCGAGCGUUAAUCGGAAUUACUGGGCGUACAGCGCGCGUAGGUGGCUUGAUAAGCCGGUUGUGAAAGCCCCGGGCUCAACCUGGGAACGGCAUCCGGAACUGUCAAGCUAGAGUGCAGGAGAGGAAGGUAGAAUUCACGGUGUAGCGGUGAAAUGCGUAGAGAUCGGGAGGAAUACCAGUGGCGAAGGCGGCCUUCUGGACUGACACUGACACUGAGGUGCGAAAGCGUGGGUAGCAAACAGGAUUAGAUACCCUAGUAGUC
rnacentral:rRNA from 1 species